UUAAUUUUUUUUAUCACUAUUAUUAUUAUUAUUAUUAUUAAUGUGUGGGUUUAGCCACAAAACCAGGUUCAACCAACCAUGUUUUCUUAAAAUGUCCUGUACCAAGUCAGGUAAAUGGCAAUUGUUAUCUUAUUGUACGUUUGUAAUCCGGAUUUGUUUUCUCUUAAUCAAUUUAGGACUUCCGAACAGCAGUAUACUACUUACUGUUGCCUUUAAUUUAUGCAGUUGACCAUUAAAAAAAUACCACAUCUUUCCGAUCAUUAGAUUUUGAAAUCACCUAUCAAUAAGGUUUGCUAUAAGCAAGUGUUACAGAAAUAUUGGAAUAAUUUGCAUCCUUAAGUGAAAUUUAAAGAGAUUGUUUAAAUUCCCUGAAUAAAGCAACAAAACACGAGGUGUUGCCGAUCAUUUUUCUGUUUCAUACCGAAUCCUUAUAAUUUCUGCAGCCUUGAAUGAUAAAGGAUAUUUAUAAAAAAAUAAUUUCUGGGAGAUGUUUUAAACGUCAAAACAAAUAAAAAUUAAUGAGAGUUAAGACUUGAAUUGAAAUGUGCAUGAUAUCCACAGUACAACAGCGUGUUACCAAGAAUGAAGAAGUAACAAUCAGAAACUUGAUUAUACAGGCAUUCCAUUUUCAAAGCAUAAAAGGAAUAGCAAAAUGAUAUAUAUAAAAAGAUAUUUUCACUAAAACUACAAAAUUAA
rnacentral:lncRNA from 1 species